UGGGGAAUCUUCCGCAAUGGGCGCAAGCCUGACGGAGCAACGCCGCGUGAAUGAAGAAGGUCUUCGGAUCGUAAAGUUCUGUUCUUAGGGAAGAAGUCUUUUCUUGUGAAUAAUGGGAGAAGGUGACGGUACCUAUGGAGAAAGCUCCGGCUAACUACGUGCCAGCAGCCGCGGUAAUACGUAGGGAGCGAGCGUUGUCCGGAAUUACUGGGCGUAAAGGGCGCGUAGGCGGGAACUUAAGUUAGAUGUGAAAACUCCGGGCUUAACCUGGAGACUGCAUUUAAAACUGGGUUUCUUGAGGGCAGGAGAGGAAAGUGGAAUUCCUAGUGUAGCGGUGAAAUGCGUAGAUAUUAGGAGGAACACCAGUGGCGAAGGCGACUUUCUGGACUGUACCUGACGCUGAGGCGCGAAAGCAUGGGGAGCGAACAGG
rnacentral:rRNA from 1 species